UACAGAGGGUGCGAGCGUUGUCCGGAAUCACUGGGCGUAAAGGGCGCGUAGGCGGCCUGAUAAGUAGGGGGUGAAAUCUUGCGGCUCAACCGCAAGGCUGCCUUCUAAACUGUCAGGCUGGAGCACGGUAGAGGCAGAUGGAAUUCCCGGUGUAGCGGUGGAAUGCGUAGAGAUCCGGAAGAACACCAGUGGCGAAGGCGGCCCGCUGGGCAGUGGCUGACGCUGAAGCGCGACAGCGUGGGGAGCAAACAGG
rnacentral:rRNA from 1 species